rnacentral:piRNA from 1 species
UCCAACAGCCUCCAUAAGGCCCACGAUUGU